rnacentral:piRNA from 1 species
UGACUGGAGGUGUUUUCAAAGUUGAAGGA